GUCCCUGUGGCGCAAUGGUUUAGUGUGUCUAGCUGCUAACCGGAAGGUUGAUGGUUCAAGCCCACACAGGAACA